UACGUAGGGUGCAAGCGUUAAUCGGAAUUACUGGGCGUAAAGCAUGCGCAGGCGGUUCUAUAAGACAGAUGUGAAAUCCCCGGGCUCAACCUGGGAACUGCAUUUGUGACUGUAGAGCUGGAGUACGGUAGAGGGGGAUGGAAUUCCGCGUGUAGCAGUGAAAUGCGUAGAUAUGCGGAGGAACACCGAUGGCGAAGGCAAUCCCCUGGACCUGUACUGACGCUCAUGCACGAAAGCGUGGGGAGCAAACAGG
rnacentral:rRNA from 1 species